UUAGGUGGAGCAAAGAGUUUGCACUUGGCUGCUAACUGAAAGGUUGGUGGUUUGAAUCCACCCAGCUACA
rnacentral:tRNA from 1 species